rnacentral:rRNA from 1 species
GACGAACGCUGGCGGCGUGCUUAACACAUGCAAGUCGAACGGAAAGGCCCUGCUUUUGUGGGGUGCUCGAGUGGCGAACGGGUGAGUAACACGUGAGUAACCUGCCCUUGACUUUGGGAUAACUUCAGGAAACUGGGGCUAAUACCGGAUAGGAGCUCCUGCUGCAUGGUGGGGGUUGGAAAGUUUCGGCGGUUGGGGAUGGACUCGCGGCUUAUCCGCUUGUUGGUGGGGUAGUGGCUUACCAAGGCUUUGACGGGUAGCCGGCCUGAGAGGGUGACCGGCCACAUUGGGACUGAGAUACGGACCAGACUCCUACGGGAGGCAGCAGUGGGGAAUAUUGCACAAUGGGCGGAAGCCUGAUGCAGCAGCGCCGCGUGCGGGAUGACGGCCUUCGGGUUGUAAACCGCUUUCGCCUGUGACGAAGAGUGAGUGACGGUAAUGGGUAAAGAAGCACCGGCUAACUACGUG